GCUCGUGUGUCCGCCCUUCUCCGUGCCCGCGCGGUCGUCCUUCCUCCCCGACGGUUCCACGACCUUCUCCGCGCCCGCUCGGUGUCCUUCCUCCCUCGACCGCCCAGCCCCACUGCACUCCUCCCUGACGGUUCCACGCUGCGCCUCCUUUCUCACCAGCUCGGCGUCGCCGCCCCAGCUCGAGCUCCGAGCGCUGCGGCCGCCGCCCCGCCUCGCUCCAGCUCCGACCUUCCUCAUCGCCUCUCCAGCUCCGGACUCCCCCUCGCGCGCCGUGCCUCUCCGCCGCCACGGAAUCCGAGGUCGAUCUCCGCCCCGCGCUCCAGCUUCCCCUGUGCAAUGUGCCUCUCCGCCGCGCCUCUCCAGAUCCGGCCUCCCUCUUGCGCGACGUACCUCUCCGCAUCGCCUCCGGCCUCCCCCACGCGGCAGCUCAUCUCCUCCCCGACGACCUGCUCCGGCUCGAGGCCCUCGCCGUUCGCCCUCGCCUCUCCGCAGCGCCGCCUCCCCCUCGGAGCAAGAAUGCAAGAUAGGCCCUCACCGCCGCCGCCUCCCCGCUCUCCUCCGUCAGCUCGCCACGGCCACGAGCCUCCUCCCAGCAUCGGCGUCGGUAGAGCCGUCGCACGGUGUUGGGUGCGGCGCUUCGCGACCCAGCUGGCGACGUCCUCGCUGCGGGAUUCGUCCCCCAACUGGAGCAACCGCCCGCCCAAGGAGACGAUCCUCCUUGACCUCCUCGAUGGGUGCGCAAUGAUAGGCCCUCACCGCCGCCACCUCCCGCACUCCUCCGCCCGCUUGCCGCGGCCGCGAGCCUCCUCCCAGCCUCCGCGGCGCCGUCGCCUGGUGCCGGGGUGCGGUGCUUCGCGACCCAGCCGGCGACAUGGGCGAUGCCGGCAACCCCGACAUCACGCCCGAUGAGAUCAUUGAUGGCUACUCCUACAUCAAGACCCUCGCCCAGGUCGUCGGGAGUGAGGAAGAAGCUAGGCAAAAGAUAUACUCGGUGUCAACUUGUCAUUACUUUGCUUUCGGUGCCCUUGUAUCUGAGGAAUUUUCUUACAAACUAAAAGAGUUGCCCAAGGUCCACUUGGUUCUUCCUGAUUCAUAAAUAAAUGUUCCCAGGCCCAGCCUACGAAGGUGGCAACCCUGGCUACCAAGGUGGCAAUCCACCACCACCACCACCACCACCACCACCGUCCAGGGAGGCAACAACGCACCUCCUCGCGAGCUGCAUCCCGAACUGGCCCCGGCCUCGUCGCUGCCGCCGCCCCAUGCCCUGAAGUGCCAGGAGCUCUCCAAGUCCAAACAGUUCUUCACACCCCCUCACAAGUGUCAUGUGAUCUGUUCGUGUGUGCGGUAAAUAGUAACGAGCUUUGUUCAGAUUGAUUGCAUGUUGCGGGGAAAUAUAAUCACUUGUACUGCUACGUCUAUCUAUGUUCUGGAUCUCAACUGAUGGAUGUUUGUUUUGCAGGGCUUGCGUAAGCUCAGAACCUGUGGGAUUUAGGAUUUACUGUCUGAAACAAAGUCAGACAUUGUUGUGAAAUGUGAAGGUUAGUUCUUCUCUGGUAAGGAGUAUAUCUCAGCCCUGGUACUAGGGGCUAUCUUUUGAUAUGAAUAAACCACAGUGACUGAAAGAUCAUUGCGUGGGGCUUCACUGAAAUAUCUAAUACAUAAUUCAGAAUUGGCAGUUUGGACAUAAGGUCUGAAUUGGAUGCAUGCACACUUUGAGCUGCAUGUUUCUGAUCAACCAUUAGCAUCUUAUGUACACGAUACAGCACUCUCAAUUCUGUGCGACAAUAUUCUACACUUGCAUAUCACUUGUUCAAUAUAUAAGUCUUCCUUCUGUUUAAACCAUAUGAUGAAAUAUCAAUGCAAUGCAACUUGCUCUCAUGCUAUGAUAUGAAAUAUUCAGCCCCAAGAGUUAAAUGAGGUGAAGGUCAGUCUCACAUGUGCACCUUGAGCCUGUGUGCAGCUGAUCAAUAUAGCAGCAUUAAUCUUACAAACUUGGCAGAACAUAGGAUGUCUCUUGAACAGUGCUUAUCAUCAAUGAAAAAAUAUUAGACUCAACAUAGGAAGCCAGUGUAAGCAUAUAUUAGACUCAAGAUAGGACCUCUGUCUUAACUUGAAAUGAUUAAGAAUUAGAACAAGCUAUCAUAAGUUAGGAUCUGGUCGAAAUUUCAGUUAAAAGUUGAUCUACUCUUACAGGAAGUUCUUAAAUGAACAGUGUUGACUUAAAUUGCAGAUAAACUCUGAGAAUAAAAGUCAGACCUACAGGAGGCAUUUGAAAUUAUUCCUUUUUGCAUCAUCAUGCUUGUUAGUUGUGCAUCUGUUGGUGAUCUUGGUUGUUGUCCUAAAGCAACCUCCAUUCAAUUUGCUAUGAUUCAACAUGAUCUUGAUCAAUUGGCAUUACUUUAUAUA